UACGGAGGGUGCAAGCGUUAUCCGGAUUUACUGGGUUUAAAGGGUGCGUAGGUGGGUCUGUAAGUCAGUGGUGAAAUCUCCGAGCUUAACUCGGAAACUGCCAUUGAUACUAUAGGUCUUGAAUUAUCUGGAGGUAAGCGGAAUAUGUCAUGUAGCGGUGAAAUGCUUAGAUAUGACAUAGAACACCAAUUGCGAAGGCAGCUUACUACGGAUUGAUUGACACUGAGGCACGAAAGCGUGGGGAUCAAACAGG
rnacentral:rRNA from 2 species